rnacentral:lncRNA from 1 species
AGUCUCCAGGAGUACAUAAAUAUUAGGACUAUACUACUGAAAAAGUCUACUAAAAGUAGAAAAGAAAGAAGACUUCUCAGCCCUUCAAACUUUUUAAAACAAGAUCUUCAUUGAUGAGAAUCUCCCUGAUGGUCACCAUUAUCUACCCAAAAGGCCGACUUACCACACUCCUGCUUCAUCACUUCCUUCAUAUGAUGGGCCACUAGAUCAUGGGAGGACUACUCAUAAAGGCACAACCCAACAUCACUAGAAUUACCCCCACAAGCCCUUCCUUUUAUAGACUUGGGGAUGUCACCAAACUACCCUA